rnacentral:rRNA from 1 species
AGACCCGAAACCCGGUGAUCUAGCCAUGGGCAGGUUGAAGGUUGGGUAACACUAACUGGAGGACCGAACCGACUAAUGUUGAAAAAUUAGCGGAUGACCUGUGGCUGGGGGUGAAAGGCCAAUCAAACCGGGAGAUAGCUGGUUCUCCCCGAAAGCUAUUUAGGUAGCGCCUCGUGAAUUCAUCUCCGGGGGUAGAGCACUGUUUCGGCUAGGGGGCCAUCCCGGCUUACCAACCCGAUGCAAACUGCGAAUACCGGAGAAUGUUAUCACGGGAGACACACGGCGGGUGCUAACGUCCGUCGUGAAGAGGGAAACAACCCAGACCGCCAGCUAAGGUCCCAAAGUCAUGGUUAAGUGGGAAACGAUGUGGGAAGGCCCAGACAGCCAGGAUGUUGGCUUAGAAGCAGCCAUCAUUUAAAGAAAGCGUAAUAGCUCACUGGUCGAGUCGGCCUGCGCGGAAGAUGUAACGGGGCUAAACCAUGCACCGAAGCUGCGGCAGCGAACGUAUCACCCAAGACAACUUUACGGAGUUGACGAUUGACGGAGCGAAGCGACGUCAAAGCGUUCAUUAAAGUCGAGUUGGCUUAGGGAUACGUUCGUUGGGUAGGGGAGCGUUCUGUAAGCCUGUGAAGGUGUGUCGUGAGGCAUGCUGGAGGUAUCAGAAGUGCGAAUGCUGACAUAAGUAACGAUAAAGCGGGUGAAAAGCCCGCUCGCCGGAAGACCAAGGGUUCCUGUCCAACGUUAAUCGGGGCAGGGUGAGUCGACCCCUAAGGCGAGGCCGAAAGGCGUAGUCGAUGGGAAACGGGUUAAUAUUCCCGUACUUGGUGUUACUGCGAAGGGGGGACGGAGAAGGCUAUGUUGGCCGGGCGACGGUUGUCCCGGUUUAAGCGUGUAGGUGUGUGUUCCAGGUAAAUCCGGUUCACUUUAACACUGAGGCGUGACGACGAGGCACUACGGUGCUGAAGCAACAAAUGCCCUGCUUCCAGGAAAAGCCUCUAAGCAUCAGGUAACAUCAAAUCGUACCCCAAACCGACACAGGUGGUCAGGUAGAGAAUACCAAGGCGCUUGAGAGAACUCGGGUGAAGGAACUAGGCAAAAUGGUGCCGUAACUUCGGGAGAAGGCACGCUGACACGUAGGUGAAGUGAUUUACUCAUGGAGCUGAAGUCAGUCGAAGAUACCAGCUGGCUGCAACUGUUUAUUAAAAACACAGCACUGUGCAAACACGAAAGUGGACGUAUACGGUGUGACGCCUGCCCGGUGCCGGAAGGUUAAUUGAUGGGGUCAGCGUAAGCGAAGCUCCUGAUCGAAGCCCCGGUAAACGGCGGCCGUAACUAUAACGGUCCUAAGGUAGCGAAAUUCCUUGUCGGGUAAGUUCCGACCUGCACGAAUGGCGUAAUGAUGGCCAGGCUGUCUCCACCCGAGACUCAGUGAAAUUGAACUCGCUGUGAAGAUGCAGUGUACCCGCGGCAAGACGGAAAGACCCCGUGAACCUUUACUAUAGCUUGACACUGAACAUUGAGCCUUGAUGUGUAGGAUAGGUGGGAGGCUUUGAAGUGUGGACGCCAGUCUGCAUGGAGCCGACCUUGAAAUACCACCCUUUAAUGUUUGAUGUUCUAACGUGGACCCGUAAUCCGGGUUGCGGACAGUGUCUGGUGGGUAGUUUGACUGGGGCGGUCUCCUCCUAAAGAGUAACGGAGGAGCACGAAGGUUGGCUAAUCCUGGUCGGACAUCAGGAGGUUAGUGCAAUGGCAUAAGCCAGCUUGACUGCGAGCGUGACGGCGCGAGCAGGUGCGAAAGCAGGUCAUAGUGAUCCGGUGGUUCUGAAUGGAAGGGCCAUCGCUCAACGGAUAAAAGGUACUCCGGGGAUAACAGGCUGAUACCGCCCAAGAGUUCAUAUCGACGGCGGUGUUUGGCACCUCGAUGUCGGCUCAUCACAUCCUGGGGCUGAAGUAGGUCCCAAGGGUAUGGCUGUUCGCCAUUUAAAGUGGUACGCGAGCUGGGUUUAGAACGUCGUGAGACAGUUCGGUCCCUAUCUGCCGUGGGCGCUGGAGAACUGAGGGGGGCUGCUCCUAGUACGAGAGGACCGGAGUGGACGCAUCACUGGUGUUCGGGUUGUCAUGCCAAUGGCACUGCCCGGUAGCUAAAUGCGGAAGAGAUAAGUGCUGAAAGCAUCUAAGCACGAAACUUGCCCCGA